CAGCAGCCGCGGGAAUACAGAGGGUGCGAGCGUUAAUCGGAUUUACUGGGCGUAAAGCGUGCGUAGGCGGCUUUUUAAGUCGGAUGUGAAAUCCCUGAGCUUAACUUAGGAAUUGCAUUCGAUACUGGGAAGCUAGAGUAUGGGAGAGGAUGGUAGAAUUCCAGGUGUAGCGGUGAAAUGCGUAGAGAUCUGGAGGAAUACCGAUGGCGAAGGCAGCCAUCUGGCCUAAUACUGACGCUGAGGUACGAAAGCAUGGGGAGCAAACAGGAUUAGAUACCCGUGUAGUCCCUGUCUAUUAUAC
rnacentral:rRNA from 1 species